GGCGCUGGCGCGGGGGCGGCGGGGGCUGCCGGGCGCGCAGGAGCCGCAGCCGGGAGAGCCGGAGCGCAAGCGAGUGUGCAAGCCCUUAGAAGCUGUUCCAAAUGAGGUCGAUGCUCGCCUCAUUGACUGUGCUAUGGAGCUGGAUUCUAAACAGAAAGCCUCCUCUGGCUGUGGUCCUUGGGCUACAAAGACAAAGCAAAACUCAAUGGGACACUUCAGUCAUAUCCUGGGCUGCUAGAGACGGACAGACAGCAGAUAAGCAGCGCUGCUUUCCCUGUUAGGUUCUGGAAGUGCACCUGUGAGCAGUGUACAGCUGGAGUAGGUUCACUCAUGGCAAACGUUCUGCACUCUGCUCUGUGUUACCCUUCCAUCACACAGUUGGAUGCCACUGUUUUUACUCUUGAAAAAACGCUUUUGUACUUAAGGUAUCUCAUAUGUAUGAAAAGAUAUGUAUUUGGUUUGACUUUUUGGAGCAGUUAAGCUGAUUUGGUCUUUGGCCCAGUCUUCACCUGGCCCUGGGCCAAAGGUCAUGCUGAUACAAGGUGUUUCACUGUCUCACUUGGGCACUUUCUCUCAUACUCUUGGAGGUUGUCCUUGUGUUCACAUUGGUACCGGGCCUGCACUUUUAGCUCAAUUGUAUAUAAGCAGGCAGAAAUGGGAGGACUCUUCGGUUCUACACAGAGAGCUGAUCAGCUUGACAGCUAUGCAAAGGCCAGUAAAAACCCUAUUGAAACUUACUUUGUUGUAAAAUCCAGAAUAUGCAUCCAUUUCAGGUAUCUUUCCUACAUGCCAAACUCUUACUUGAUUUACAAUAAGCACAGUUUGUGAAUGUGACAGAUAACUAUCUGAAAGAAAAAAAUCAGUAUUAUUUGAACAACGUUAUUAUGCAAAGGUGAGUGGUGCUUCAGAUCUACACAGUCCUCUCAAAUUGCUGAAGAUACCAUCUGAUGCUCUGGGAUUCCUUCUUUCCAACCGUUGUGAUGCUAGAACAAGUCUGUUUCAGCUUGUUACCCAACUUGAUCUUAGUGGCUUGCCACAGAUAAUUUAAUCAACAUUUGAGCCGUCUGCAGGCCUGUGUAAUUUUUAAACACCUGCAGGUUUUAAACUCUUAAGGUAUCCAAGUUGUGUUAUUUGGAUGUGACACUUCACUGGCUGCUCUGGAAUGGAGCUGGCUGCUGUUCAGAACAGAAUAGCAGUGCUUACCCUCUGCACUGGAUGGAAAUGGCUGUGACCCACCAAAGUUCAGGAAGAAAGCAAUCUCCCCUGUCAGGAGAAGUGUCCCCUGUUCCUAUGGAGCCUUUGGGGAGGGUUCAGCCCACCAGGCAGGCAGAGCAGCUUCCAGCCUCUCCUGCUCUGAGGGCAGGCACUACUCAGUGUAGAUUAAAAUGGUAGCUCUGAAGCUGCAAAAAUCUAGUAACAGGCUUUUAAAGGUCACUAUCCCAGUGGCAUUUAUCACACUGUAAUAUUCUUAGAGAAAUCUUAUCAUAGUCCUAGAACACUUCCCAUAUUGUGUGUGGAGUUGUAGCUAGCACUGAGUUGACUUUUAUUAACAAGAUAAUCUUCCUAAAUAGAUGAAUAUCAUAUGAAUACUGAAUUCAGUUAAGCGACAGAUGGGGAGAUAAGUUUAUUAAGCAGAGCUGCACUAAAUUGGCAUCCAGAAAGUUUGGUUAGGAAAGAAUGAAUUUCCUCCAAUCCCAUACAAAUUUAAGUUCCCUUGGAAAUGAAUCAUGGCAAAGUGGGAUUGGAUCGGAUGAUCUCCAGAGGUUCCCCUGAUCCCUGUGAUUCUGUGGUUCUGCCAGCUGUUUCAAACACCCCACAGUUUCCUUCAGUGAUAGAAGCAGUACAGUCUGCUCAAAGAUCAAAUCACUGAGAAGCACAAUGGUUUUAGAAGGUUGUGUUACCUUGAAGGUAAGAAAUUCAUCUUGAGCUCUCCAGCUCCCAGUUCAGGUUGAUACAAGCAGUAGUAUCUAUCCAUGCUAGAAAGGAACAUAUGCUCAGUUGAAAUGAUAGUAGUGCCUGAGCAAAUUCCCAUAUCCUGACAGUACAGUUUAUCAACUAGUGCAAAAUGGCAAUGUAAAAUGGUUUCUAAAGACACUGCUUGCUCUGCAAUAGCAUAUUUGUUACUGGGCAGCCAGGCUAUGCUUUGUUGGCAGUUCAUUUUAACAAGAUUUUCCAGUUGUUUUUUUACAAAUCCUGGUAGCAAUGUCAGCCAGGAAAAAAAAGAUGGCUGAGCUUCAGUUUCUGUGCUGUAAAAACUGAAAUAGUUACUCUGAAUGUAGAAGGCUGAAAGGUAUCUAAAAGUUUAGUCACUGCAAAAUGACUCAGAACCUAUUGGGUGCAACUGAGUUCAAUGCUUGAACGCAGCUGUUAGCAGAACAGUACGUAGUCAAAAUUUAAGGUCUCUUAAGAAGAGAAAUUACGUCUGGACUUGGUCUUGGGGAAGUUUUCUGAUGGAAUACACUGGACCGAAGAAGCACCAUAUUGUUUUUAAUGCACGGGCAAUACACUAUGAACCAUCACACCGAGAGGAUGAUUUUCCAUUUAAAUGGAUCGCAGUGCAUAUAUUUCUUCUGUUAGCUAAAAGCCUGACUGUAUUUUAGUCAAUAGAAUACAGUCAGAAUGAGAACUAAUUGAUUCUCUUUACAAUCCCUGUAGCUCCUAUCACGCUCUUUGCAAUCCUUCUCCUUUCAGAGUAACCAUUACUUGGUUUUUGUAAGGUGCCACCAUACAUAACUCCCAGGGUUGGUCAUAGUUCCUCCUGGCUGCAUCACAGAGCCCUGAUGAAGUCACACUCUGUUCGAUUUUAAUGCAAUUUCUUCAUAUCAGUCUUCUCAUUGUUACUGUGCACUGUGCAGGUAUUUUAUUACCCUGUCCACAGUGACUCUCAGCUCUGUCCUUGGAGAUUACUGCAUCUCUACAGCUCAAGAAAAUAGGAGAACUCUGUACUAUUUUUAACCUGCAGUGUGAACAUGGGCCCGUGGUACCUUCUUUGCACUGCUCGAAAUGUAAUGCUGCAUUUUAUAUCAGAUCUAAUUGAUCAGUAGCUGUUAUUUGUGUGAAUAGUUUGAAUAUCUAAAUGCUAUAGAAAAGAAACAUGAGUAGAAUUGUCCCAGGUUGGGUCUUUGUUUAACUGCAGCCUUUUGCUUUCCCCAGGAACACAAUACAGGGUAUGUCAGAGCAAUUCCAUGGCCAGGGAGUAAAUUCAUUAGCAGGGAGUAGAGAUACCCUAUCUAGUUUUGAUAGCAGCUCCCUCCUUUUGGUAGCCCUUGAGUUGACUUGGGGUUAAAACAUAAACAAGAAACCACUCUCCGCAUAAACUUCAAAGUGAAUCCUUAGGAAGGAUGUGAUUGCUUGCCCCAUGCCUUUUAAUGGGCAAGAUGCAUUUAUGAAUCAGCAACGACACAAAUGAGUUGCAGCUGAAAUAGCUCAGCAGAGUGAAGACCUGCUAUUUUAUUCCAUAGCUGUGCUGUAUUUGUGGUCUCGGAGCAGUGCUGCAGCAGGUGCAGCUGAGGGCCGUGCAGUUGGGGGUGGUGAAUGUUCCUUUAAAGCAGAUGGGUGUCAGAUCUGCAGCAAAACCUCAGAACUAUUUUUGUAGGACUUUUCUUCACCUUGUACAGCUGUGACGUUUUGGUUUGUUGAUAAAUAUGAUUCUUUAUCUUUCUUAAUGCUGUGGUUUGAGCACAAAAUAACCUAAAAUAUACUUUAUUUAGGUGUAUAUAGUAAAACAAAGCAUACGGCCAGUUUUUAAUGCAGAUAAAAAUGAUACCAUAUUUUUAACUUUGUAUUUUAUAAGUUGUUGCAAAAGCAGAAGCAUUAAACCCACCUUUGGCUACAGUACCAACCGUCUGGUUUUGUUCUGCCAUUAAUAAUUGCAUCGUGUUCUGCAGGCACUGAGGCACCAAGGUAUAUGUUAUGGAGCUUCGUUUGUGCAACGUAGCCCACCUGGUUCUUCCCCUCACUGCCCAAAAACAUGAAUGAUACACAGAAUCAAUAUUUUGAAACGACAUAAUUCCUCUGCAGGUUUGGCAUAAUGGAGAGUUAAACACUACCAUUUCUCAGCUCAUCUCCAUCUGCCUUUCCAGAUUUUGUUUUUCCUCACCUAAUUGGAGCACUUUAGGGUCAGAACUGUGGGUUUAGGUAGAAAUGGAGGUGUCCGGACAGCCUUAUGAAUCUAAGCUCUAAUCUCCUUAGAUCUCAUUGCUUUAUGUAGAUUAACACUCUGCUCCAUAGCUGCGUGGUUCCAAAGCAAAUCCCUCAGCCAGCGCUGCACACUGUGCACUGCUGCAGCUGUAGCUCUGAGUCCCCCCAGCCCAACCCCACCCACCCCACUGCACCCACUGCCCCCCCCCUCAGUGCCACAUCCCCGCGGCUCUGAACACCUCCAUGGACGGGGACUGCCCACCCCUGGGCAGCUGUGCCAGCGCCUGGCCGCUCUCUGGAGCAGACAUUGCUCUGAUAGCCAACCUGACCCUCCCUGGCAUGAGUCUGGGGACUGCCCAGAGCGUAACCUUGGCCACACAGCACAGCCCAACCCUCCUGAGAAGGUAACAGCUGUUGUCAGGAGCACUGUAAGCAAGGGGAGGACAGUGGAGAAAACUUCUUUACUUUUUGUUUCAUUUUGUCACCUAUGCCUACAUGCUUAGAGAUGAACACAAUUUGGCGGUACAUACAUUUUGUAUAACGAUAAGCAGAUGGAACAUUUAAGAUGAGAGAAUUAAGCCUCGUAAGAAAGCGCAAGAGCAAAUGUGAAGUUGAUAGGGUGGAUGUAUUAUUGAUGAAAAUUAUAAACGCAUUAUCCUUGCUAUGUAAAAUGUACUGAGUUCAGUUGCUUUAGACUGCAGCGUUCACAUAAUUGUUUGCAGAUAACUACACAUUAAUUUCAUCGUCAAAGAGGAAGAAACCAAAGCUUUUGGUUUAGUAUGUGUGGAG
ensembl:lncRNA